AUUGAACGCUGGCGGCAGGCCUAACACAUGCAAGUCGAGCGAGCGGCGGACGGGUGAGUAAUGUAUGGGGACUGCCCGAUAGAGGGGGCUAACUACUGUAAAAGGUGGCUAAUACCGCAUAAUGUCGGAUAACCCAUAUGGGAUUAGCUAGUAGGUGGGGUAAAGGCUCACAGAGGCGACGAUCUCUAGCUGGUCUGAGAGGAUGAUCGGCCACACUGGGACUGAGACACGGCCCAGACUCCUCCGGAGGCAGCAGUGGGGAAUAUUGGAAAAGGGGCGAAAGUCUGAUGCAGCAAUGCCGCGUGUAUGAAGAAGGCCUUAGGGUUGUAAAGUACUGUCGGCAGGGAGGCGUUACCCAAACAAAAAGCACCGGCUAACUCCGUGCCAGCAGCCGCGGUAAUUC
rnacentral:rRNA from 1 species